CCUACGGGAGGCAGCAGUGGGGAAUAUUGGACAAUGGGGGAAAGCCUGACGCAGCGACGCCGCGUGAGGGAAGAAGGAAUUCGGUAUGUAAAGCUCUAUCAGCAGGGAAGAAAAUGACGGUACCUGAGUAAGAAGCCCCGGCUAAAUACGUGACAGCAGCCCCGGUAAAACGUAGGGGGCAAGCGUUAUCCGGAUUUACUGGGGGUAAAGGGGGCGUAGACGGCGGUGCAAGUCUGGAGUGAAAGGUGGGGGCUCAACCCCCGGACUGCGGUGGAAACUGGACGGCUGGAGUGCCGGAGAGGUAAGUGGAAUGCCUGGUGUAGCGGUGAAAUGCGUAGAUAUUAGGAGGAACACCAGUGGCGAAGGCGGCUUACUGGACUGUAACUGACGUUGAGGCUCGAAAGCGUGGGGAGCAAACAGGAUUAGAUACCCCUGUAGUC
rnacentral:rRNA from 1 species